rnacentral:lncRNA from 1 species
AAAAAUGGAUGCAACAACAAUUAGAAAAAAUGAAAUCAGGAGGAUCAAACUUGCAAUAGUAAUUAAAAAAAAUUGAUGUAAUAGUAAUUAAAAAUAAUGAAUUCAAAAGGAUCAAACCCACAAUUUUUACUACCAUUAUUGACAAAUUCAUCUUUAUUUUUCCUUAGCUCAGGACCGUCUGCUUAAGAAAAUUACACAAGCAAGAAGAAUGAGGUUGUGACAUACUCUCCUUCACUAUUUAUAUAGCUCCUAAGGUAAGUGCAGGUUGAUCCCAAAUGACUAUGUAUGUAGAGUCUUUGCAGUAAAGUGAGAAAGCUUAAGAAGAUGACACAAACAAGAAGAAUGUAAGGGUAAUAUGAGUAAGUGUGCCACAUGAGCUAAUAUCAUAUGUCGUCAUGAAAUGUUUAUUUGUUAACUAUUUGAGAUAUGCUUAUUGGUAACAUUGACAACAUUGUUGGUAUGCUUCACUGUUAUUCAUGAAUGUAGUUGGAUUUUAUUCUAAUAUAUGUUUUGGUCAAUGAUCACUGUUUGAAAUUGUCUUAUAAGGUAAAUUAUUCUGAUGAGUUUAUGCAUGUUGAACUAGAUCACAACUACAUGACUUAUCAAAAAUAAAAAGAUCGCAACUAUAUGACUUUGACUCAAAGCAAUUCAUUAAAAUUUUGACUAGCUAAAUAUGUAUUUGAAGUAAAUAUAAGGUUUUGUUCUCUAACCAGAAAAAGGUAAACUAAUUUCAAACUAAUGAUCUAUACAUAAUGACCAAUUGAAUGAAUUUUAAUAUCUUGUUUUGAAGUGAAAAUAUCUUUGGCCUCCCAUUGAAAUUUUAUAAUGUCUUUGCCGUUGUUGUAUCAAAAGUUGUUUAUUUUCCCGGCAUGUUUUGAUUGAAAUUCUGUUUCACAAACCACCAUACUUUUAUAGACGUCCAAAAUGAGUGAAUAUUUGAUUUUAACUUGUGUAGAAAUUAAUGAGAAAGAAAGUGAAGCAAGCAGUGAAAUAAGAGCAUGGAGUAGACUGUCCUGAAGUAUUUGGCCCUGUUAGAAUGAUGAAAAUUAUAUCAACUAGACUGACUAUAUAUCAAAUCUGCUUUUUUGUAUGAUGAGUGGAAGUAUAUAAAAUCAUAAUUAAAGGAACUUCUUUCUUGGAAUUGAAGUGCUGAAAAGAAGAUUAUAGAUGUAUGCACGUAUGCUUAUUGGACAUGUUGAGAGCUUUGUUCGUGUGAUUGAGUUACUUGAAAAUCCGCAAAACAACCUAAAUUUAUGUUCAAUUUAGGUCAUGUGAGAUUUUUCAUCAAACCAGUACCAUUUUAAAAUAUUUUCCCCUUAAUUAAAGAGGAUGAUGUCACUUUUUUUAAAAUAAAAUAAGGAGUUUAUUUAAAAUUAAAAGGAAAACACAAACGGCCGGAACAAGGAGAAAGAAGAUGAAUUACAGAAUCAACUAUUAUUCUUGAUAUUUAAAUAUAACUUCAGUAUAUUAAAAAAUAUAAAUAAUAAAUUUGGUCUCUUAAAAU